rnacentral:rRNA from 1 species
UACGAAGGUGGCUAGCGUUGUUCGGUAUUACUGGGCUUAAAGCGUGUGUAGGCGGAAAGAUAAGCGUCUUGUGAAAUCCCUCGGCUUAACCGAGAAAUUGCUUGGUGAACUAUCUUUCUUGAGGCAAAUAGGGGUGCGUGGAACUCUUGGUGGAGCGGUGGAAUGCGUAGAUAUCAAGAGGAACGCCAGUGGUGAAAACGACGCACUAGGUUUGUCCUGACGCUGAGACACGAAAGCGUGGGUAGCGAACGGGAUUAGAUACCCCGGUAGUCCACGCCGUAAACGAUGUCUACUAGAUUGCGGAUGUUCUGACACAUUCGCGAUCGAAGCAAAAGUGUUAAGUAGACCGCCUGGGGAGUACGGUUGCAAGGCUAAA